CCUACGGGUGGCAGCAGUGAGGAAUAUUGGUCAAUGGGCGCGAGCCUGAACCAGCCAAGUCGCGUGAAGGAUGACUGCCCUACGUGUUGUACACUUCUUUUAUAAAGAAAUAAAGUGAGGCACGUGUGCCUUUUUGUAUGUACUUUAUGAAUAAGGAUCGGCUAACUCCGUGCCAGUAGCCGCGGUAAUACGGAGGAUCCGAGCGUUAUACGGAUUUAGUGGGUUUAAAGGGAGCGUAGAUGGGUGGUUAAGUCAGUUGUGAAAUGUUGCGGCUCAACCUUAAAAUCGCAAUUGAUACUGGCAGUCUUGAGUGCAGUUGAGGUAGGCGGAAUUCGUGGUGUAGCGGUGAAAUGCUUAGAUAUUACGAAGAACGCCGAUUGCGAAGGCAGCUUACUAAACUGCAACUGACAUUGAUGCUCGAAAGUGUGGGUAUCAAACAGGAUUAGAUACCCUAGUAGUC
rnacentral:rRNA from 1 species